rnacentral:lncRNA from 13 species
CAUCGGAGGUCCUUAUAUUGGGUUCCCUAUAUUGACCAGAGCCGAAAGUAAUGCACUAUAUAGGAAAUUGGGUGCCAUUUGAGACUGUCCUGACCUUUCUGUUCUGAUGCCUGUAUUACUGUAAGCACAGAGUUGUUACAAACAAGGAGCUACACAGAACAGUGUGUAUACACUUGUUGCAUUCAUCAUCUACAUUCAAAUGGAAUUUUAUCCAUUGUAAGCAAAUUAUGUCCAAAGCAACCAAGUAAUUUAAAGAAAACUCAAUUUGGAUGAUUGUUUAACUGUCUUUGUGUUUGUGUGUUCAAUUCUUUCUAAUGCUGAACCUGAAGAGAAGGAUACAGAGAAAGAAAAGGAUACGGAGAAAGAGAAGGAGAAGGAGAAAGAGAAAGAGAAGGAGAAGGAGAAGGAGAUAGAGAUGGAGACAGACACCAGCGCUAGUGAACAAAUAAAUGCUAAAGUCGAGAGCUUGGAAGGAUCUGACCCAACUGAAACCGACAGCUCUCCGUCCAAAGGUCUCCAUUGAGG